CUUCGGGGUGUNUNAAUAGAGAAAGGGUGAGUAACACGUGGGCAAUCUGCCCUUCACUCUGGGACAAGCCCUGGAAACGGGGUCUAAUACCGGAUAAUACUUUCCUCCUCCUGGAGGAAGGUUGAAAGCUCCGGCGGUGAAGGAUGAGCCCGCGGCCUAUCAGCUAGUUGGUGGGGUAAUGGCCUACCAAGGCGACGACGGGUAGCCGGCCUGAGAGGGCGACCGGCCACACUGGGACUGAGACACGGCCCAGACUCCUACGGGAGGCAGCAGUGGGGAAUAUUGCACAAUGGGCGAAAGCCUGAUGCAGCGACGCCGCGUGAGGGAUGACGGCCUUCGGGUUGUAAACCUCUUUCAGCAGGGAAGAAGCGAAAGUGACGGUACCUGCAGAAGAAGCGCCGGCUAACUACGUGCCAGCAGCCGCGGUAAUACGUAGGGCGCAAGCGUUGUCCGGAAUUAUUGCGCGUAAAGAGCUCGUAGGCGGCUUGUCACCUCUGUUGAGAAAGCCCGGGGCUUAACCACGGGUCUGCAAUCGAUACGGGCNNGCUAGAGUGUGGUAGGAGANAUCGAAAUUCCUGGUGUAGCGGUGAAAUGCCCAGAUAUCANGANNANCNCNGGGGUGAAGGCCGAAUUAUGGGGNCNNUACUGACNCUGAGNANCCAAAGCGUGGGGAGGANANGNNUNNANAUACUGNNG
rnacentral:rRNA from 1 species